UACGUAGGUGGCAAGCGUUAUCCGGAAUUACUGGGCGUAAAGCGCACGCAGGCGGUCUUUUAAGUUUGACGUGGAAGCUCUCGGCUUAACUGGGAGAGGUCGUUGAAGACUGGAAGGCUUGAGGCAAUGAGAGGGGUGUAGAAUUCCCGGUGUAGUGGUGGAAUGCGUAGAUAUCGGGGGGAAUACCAGUGGCGAAAGCGGCACCCUAGCGUUAGCCUGACGCUCAUGUGCGAAAGCGUGGGGAGCGAACGGG
rnacentral:rRNA from 1 species